CCGGGUCGGCCACUGAAAACUGCUCCUCUGGGUUUGGUAUCUUGAACACUUUGAAGACACUUGAGUAUAAUAUAAUACCGUACAUUUAUACCUUAAUAAAUUAAAACUAUCACAAGACAUCACCACUUUCCUUCAUGGACCAGACAGUAGUGGAUGAAUGAAAGCAUAAAUGUUCAAGAAAGGUGGAAAACCAUGGCUACUAUCCCAGCAAAUCGGGCCAAGCUACAGUUCGUGCCACAUGUCUCAGUGGAAAAGAGACCAACAUUCUGCUCCUUUUCCUACUGCAGGCAUGCCCACAAGUUGGUUCAUGGUGAUUAUAAAUUCCAUCGACUUGAAAGGUUAAUCAUCCCAAUAAGGAAGGACAGGUCCAGUAACUGACUUACAACUUGCCAUAGAUUUGGACAGCAUAGGACUAUACCAGAUGCUGCUGGAGAAGCUGGUGCAGAAACAAAAGAGGCAUUUCACCAGAGGGAAGCAGUGACAGAUGCUGGAGUAGAGAGAAGAUCUUCUUUCUGAGCUUUACACAUUUAAGUGCUGCCUUCCUUCAUGAUCCUAUUGAUAAAUAAUGAAGACUAAUUGGCUGCUGAAACCCCUUGUGUUAAGAGAACAAGAUGGUUGAAGUACACAGCAAUUAUGUAAUAUAAUAAGGAACCUAUGUUAACCCUCUGACAUUAUUUCCAGUGAAUCUCACUGAAGCCAAGACAGCCUAUAGCUUGGGUCAUUUGAAGCUGAAAUUGAAAAGAGGCUAUGAGGCCCACACUGCCUCUGAGGAUAAUGGAAGAUAGACUGGGUGAUCUGUUAAAUGUGACUGGCUCAAGUCUAGAGGAUUCAAACAGCUCUUGUUGCAUUCAUUAGAAACAGGUUUGCUUAACAGUCUCUGGAGUUCACUGAGAAGGGAGCUGACAUUUGCAAAUGAUAGCCUUAGAAACUUUCUUCCCUCUACAAUUCUGCUUUUUCUAUUGUUCCUUUUCCUUGGAGCUUUCCUUCUGGAUGUUGGUAAAUUUCCAGGAAAUGCACUUGUGCUUUCCGUUGUCACAUCUCAUCAGUGCUCUUUUGGGGAGGCUGGAGGGAGGGUGGCAGGAGAACCAGGAGGAAGGAGAGAGUGCCCUGGGCUGAAAUGGCAGCAGCAUGUAAAUGAAUGCCAACUCUGUGAACAUUUCCCAAGCAGUCACAUUCUAUUACAAGCAAAUUAUGGGAUGUGAUUCCUAGAAAAUAGCAAAGGAAGAACAAAAAAAAAAAACAAAUAAUAAACAACUAAGUAAAUAAAUAAAUAAAUAAAUAGAAAGAUAAAUAAAAGGCAGGUGGCCAUGCAUAUUUCACCUUCAAUUCUCUGUUGGAUCAAUUCUUCAAAUGCUAGAGGUUCCAACAAUUCAACUGUUUAUUCCUUCAAAAAAUAUAUACAUUUACUAACUAUUUCCAUCUUUCUAAAUAGAAAUAGAGGUAUGGAUAUUAACUUUCACAUGGUCAUCCAAACUGUCACUCUUUUCACUACAUUGGUUUAUUAUAAAAUCAAUUUGAUUUAGGAACUGAAUUAUUCUAAAAAAAAAGAGAGAGAAAUCAAACAACGUCAAGUUCCACAUUUACCCCAAUUAUCUAGGAACAAAGUCAGAUUAUCUGUCAAUAAUAGUGUUCACUCUGAUGACUAUUUAAGAACAUAUAUCCCUAAAAUUACCUCUGAAAAUUUGAUUUCCUAGGUCAAAGAUGGAGUAUCCUGAUGAAGAAUGAUGUUUGGAACUAUUGUACGAUGCUCAUAGCUCUGGCAAUGCCAAAUUGGUGACUCAUUUCUUAUAUGGCCCUGUGUGACUAUAUCAAUAGCUAAUUCUAGCUGUUUGAGGACUUAAAUGUGUAGAGGGAAGGGAGGUAUAAGCCACAUAGACAGGACUAUUACAGUGCACAAGAGGAGGGACAGGGCUUGGCACAUUCAAACUCAAUCAAAAGUGACUGUGCUGUACUUCCUGCCCUCAUGUUUCCAGUUUGGGGAAUGAACACUGGACAGAAGGAAGUGUCAUUCAUACAGUAUGUGCAGGAUUUGGUGUAUAGAAACCAGUGGUUAAGUUUAUGUAAGGUAUAAUAUACAAAACAAACCAAAAUGUAAGUAUUGCAUAAAAAGUCAAAUUUAAUUACAUUACCUACAGUUUUAAAGUGAACCAAAAUAAGGAAAGAUCUUUAUUUUAUUUUUUUUAUACUUACAUUUUUUAAAAUUUCUUCCCUCAUGGGUCAACUCCUGGCAGCUGGUAUCUACCUGUCCUAAUGCCUAACCACUUGCUUUACAUACUCUCCUCACCUCUCCUGCUCCCUUCACUCUUACCCUUUACACUCACCAGACUCAAACUAGCUACUUCCCAAACUCAACAUUAAAAUAGGAAUAAUGACAAAGCAUAUUCAUACUUCUAAAAAUAUCAAAACAGAACAGCAGGACUUCCCAUACCAUACAACUAAAAUGAAUAUAGCAGAUGAAACAAUUAUUUCAGGACACUGAACCAAAACAAGGUGGCACAUGGUUAGUUCAUGUUAGUGUACAGAAAAUUGCCUGGGUUAUGAAGUAAGAAAGGAGAAUCGAGAUGAAGCCAGACAGCGUCUAUGAAGAAAACAUAAUAUUGAGAAGGCAGGAAGGAGGAAGUAGAUAGUGCUCACAGGACACAACACCAGAUAAGAUGGAAAGGGGGAGGAUCCAGAGGUCUGCAGAGGCUUACCUAUAUGUCAUCCUGUUCUUUUAUAGAAAACUAUCCAAUAUUCAGACAUAACUAGCUGAAAGACCUAAAGAUAGCACAUUUAGUGCUUACACAGGUAUCUAGCCUCAUGUUUCAUGAAGCAUUGGGUAGAAAACAUAACUUUUGAUAAUGUAAAAUCAUGAUUCAUGGAUUACACACAAGGUGAUUCUUAACAAAUCUUGGAAGCAAGACCCCUAAGAGGUUUAACUGUUUCCCAGUAACAAAAUUAUAUCUCAACAGAAAGAUGGAGAACAUUCAUAGGAAAAUAAAGAUAUCUGUCACUUAGGAAGGUGCAAUAUGUGAUGUAUAACCAUCAAAGGAAGAUGACAAAAUAUUGGGGUCUGGAUGUUUCCAUUCUUGACUCCCUGCCAAUUCAUAUGUUGAAAUUUGAAUCCCUAAAAUGAUGGUAUUAUGAGGCAGAGUCACUGUGGAGGUAAUUAGGUCAUCGAUAGCAGAUCUCUCUCAGAUAGGAUUCGUGAUCUUUUUAAAGAGGCUCAGAGAACAACUGCCUUGCCAAGUCCAGGGCAGAACACUGUGGGAAGAGCCAUUGAGAUCAAUGGACAGUAACCAUGGACCAUGUCUGCUACCACUUUUAUUCUUGCUUGCUAUAAACCAUUUGGCUUAUAAUAACACACUGGGUAUAAUUAAAGGGGCUGAAAGGUUUAGACUUAUGAUGAAUAAACAGAUAGCAAAUACAGAACAGGACUGACACAGAUGUGAAAAUGGACAGAGAAUAAAAUUAAAACAGUUGUUUUAAUGGUACCAUCGAAAACUGAAAUAUUAAGUGAAGACUGAGAAGACAUUAAAAAUUCUAAAAUUAAAAAUUUUGAGCUAAAAUGUUAUGUACCUUUUACAUAUUACAUAUGUAUCAUAUAUAGCAUAUAUACAUAUGGUUUAACAAUAAGUUUAGAAUUGAAGUAGAAAGCAUCUGUGAAUGUAACAAUAGAUUAAUAGAAAUUCACCCAAAUUAAGUUCAGGAACUAAAACAACAAUUCAAUCUAAAAACCAUUAGUGAACUGUGGAAAAGCUGUGAGAGACCUAAUAUACAUAUAAAUUGAGUUCUAGGUAGAGGGACAUUAUUUGAAUAAGCAAUGGCGAAAAAUUGACCAGGCUUUACUAAACUUACCAGUAUACAUAUCAGUGAUACAAUGGAACAAAAUCUUUGAGAUACCAAAAGAAAAAAAGAAGUUAUCAUCCAAUUAUUUAUUAUAUAAAACAUCACUCAACUAUGAAGGCAAAAUCCUUUUUUCCCCCUGAAGAUAGUAGUUGAAAGUAUUAAUGCAGCCAUCAUGUAAAAGAAUUUAAAGGAAGAGGAAGACAAUGGAAAAGAACAAAAUGAUACCAGAUGAUGAUCUGAGUCAAAACAAAGAACGAAAAAACACUAGGAUCAGUUCUGACAUGGGGUGAACAUAAGAAGUUCUGGGAUGAUUAAUCAUCAUUGUGUACUUGACCAGAUUCACAAUCACCAGAGGUAUACCCCUGGGCCUGUUCAUGAGGAUGUUUCUGCCGAGAUUUAAUUGAGCAGGCAAGAGCCACACUAAAUGUAGGUAGCAUCACACCACAGGCUGUGAUCCUGUGUCAAAUAAAAUCACACGAGCAAGGUGAGCACCAGCGAUCAUUAUUCUUUCCUUCUUGGAUGCAGCAACUGUGUGACCAGUCACAUCAGGCUUCUGUUGCCAAAUAUUUCUACUAUGAUAGGCUACAUCCCUUCAGUCCAAAUAUGUGCUUCCUUUCUUAUGUAGAUUUGACAGGUAUUUUGUCACAGUAACAAUAAAAAUAAUGAGUACAAUAUCUUGUCUCAUAUAAGCGAGGAUAUGCAAAUAUUUAAGUGACUUAUAAUAUCAAUUAUUUUGUAAGAUUCUGACUUGUAAAUCAAUAACAGUAUAAAAGACAAGGGGAGACACUGUACCAUAGUAUAUUGUAAGGGCCAUACAAUGUGUAUGAAGCAAUAAAUUACAGAUGGUCUUUGUACUGUAUUAUACUAAAUGUGCAUGCGAUUAUCAAUAUUAUUAAUAUGUUAAAUAAACAUAUCAUUUAAAUUUCA